rnacentral:rRNA from 1 species
GGGUUGUGAGGUUAAGCGACUAAGCGUACACGGUGGAUGCCCUGGCAGUCAGAGGCGAUGAAGGACGUGCUAAUCUGCGAUAAGCGUCGGUAAGGUGAUAUGAACCGUUAUAACCGGCGAUUUCCGAAUGGGGAAACCCAGUGUGAUUCGUCACACUAUCAUUAACUGAAUCCAUAGGUUAAUGAGGCGAACCGGGGGAACUGAAACAUCUAAGUACCCCGAGGAAAAGAAAUCAACCGAGAUUCCCCCAGUAGCGGCGAGCGAACGGGGAGCAGCCCAGAGCCUGAAUCAGUGUGUGUGUUAGUGGAAGCGUCUGGAAAGGCGUGCGAUACAGGGUGACAGCCCCGUACACAAAAAUGCACAUGCUGUGAGCUCGAUGAGUAGGGCGGGACACGUGGUAUCCUGUCUGAAUAUGGGGGGACCAUCCUCCAAGGCUAAAUACUCCUGACUGACCGAUAGUGAACCAGUACCGUGAGGGAAAGGCGAAAAGAACCCCGGCGAGGGGAGUGAAAAAGAACCUGAAACCGUGUACGUACAAGCAGUGGGAGCACGCUUAGGCGUGUGACUGCGUACCUUUUGUAUAAUGGGUCAGCGACUUAUAUUCUGUAGCAAGGUUAACCGAAUAGGGGAGCCGAAGGGAAACCGAGUCUUAACUGGGCGUUAAGUUGCAGGGUAUAGACCCGAAACCCGGUGAUCUAGCCAUGGGCAGGUUGAAGGUUGGGUAACACUAACUGGAGGACCGAACCGACUAAUGUUGAAAAAUUAGCGGAUGACUUGUGGCUGGGGGUGAAAGGCCAAUCAAACCGGGAGAUAGCUGGUUCUCCCCGAAAGCUAUUUAGGUAGCGCCUCGUGAAUUCAUCUCCGGGGGUAGAGCACUGUUUCGGCAAGGGGGUCAUCCCGACUUACCAACCCGAUGCAAACUGCGAAUACCGGAGAAUGUUAUCACGGGAGACACACGGCGGGUGCUAACGUCCGUCGUGAAGAGGGAAACAACCCAGACCGCCAGCUAAGGUCCCAAAGUCAUGGUUAAGUGGGAAACGAUGUGGGAAGGCCCAGACAGCCAGGAUGUUGGCUUAGAAGCAGCCAUCAUUUAAAGAAAGCGUAAUAGCUCACUGGUCGAGUCGGCCUGCGCGGAAGAUGUAACGGGGCUAAACCAUGCACCGAAGCUGCGGCAGCGACACUAUGUGUUGUUGGGUAGGGGAGCGUUCUGUAAGCCUGUGAAGGUGUACUGUGAGGUAUGCUGGAGGUAUCAGAAGUGCGAAUGCUGACAUAAGUAACGAUAAAGCGGGUGAAAAGCCCGCUCGCCGGAAGACCAAGGGUUCCUGUCCAACGUUAAUCGGGGCAGGGUGAGUCGACCCCUAAGGCGAGGCCGAAAGGCGUAGUCGAUGGGAAACAGGUUAAUAUUCCUGUACUUGGUGUUACUGCGAAGGGGGGACGGAGAAGGCUAUGUUGGCCGGGCGACGGUUGUCCCGGUUUAAGCGUGUAGGCUGGUUUUCCAGGCAAAUCCGGAAAAUCAAGGCUGAGGCGUGAUGACGAGGCACUACGGUGCUGAAGCAACAAAUGCCCUGCUUCCAGGAAAAGCCUCUAAGCAUCAGGUAACAUCAAAUCGUACCCCAAACCGACACAGGUGGUCAGGUAGAGAAUACCAAGGCGCUUGAGAGAACUCGGGUGAAGGAACUAGGCAAAAUGGUGCCGUAACUUCGGGAGAAGGCACGCUGAUAUGUAGGUGAAGUCCCUCGCGGAUGGAGCUGAAAUCAGUCGAAGAUACCAGCUGGCUGCAACUGUUUAUUAAAAACACAGCACUGUGCAAACACGAAAGUGGACGUAUACGGUGUGACGCCUGCCCGGUGCCGGAAGGUUAAUUGAUGGGGUCAGCGCAAGCGAAGCUCUUGAUCGAAGCCCCGGUAAACGGCGGCCGUAACUAUAACGGUCCUAAGGUAGCGAAAUUCCUUGUCGGGUAAGUUCCGACCUGCACGAAUGGCGUAAUGAUGGCCAGGCUGUCUCCACCCGAGACUCAGUGAAAUUGAACUCGCUGUGAAGAUGCAGUGUACCCGCGGCAAGACGGAAAGACCCCGUGAACCUUUACUAUAGCUUGACACUGAACAUUGAGCCUUGAUGUGUAGGAUAGGUGGGAGGCUUGGAAGUGUGGACGCCAGUCUGCAUGGAGCCGACCUUGAAAUACCACCCUUUAAUGUUUGAUGUUCUAACGUUGACCCGUAAUCCGGGUUGCGGACAGUGUCUGGUGGGUAGUUUGACUGGGGCGGUCUCCUCCUAAAGAGUAACGGAGGAGCACGAAGGUUGGCUAAUCCUGGUCGGACAUCAGGAGGUUAGUGCAAUGGCAUAAGCCAGCUUGACUGCGAGCGUGACGGCGCGAGCAGGUGCGAAAGCAGGUCAUAGUGAUCCGGUGGUUCUGAAUGGAAGGGCCAUCGCUCAACGGAUAAAAGGUACUCCGGGGAUAACAGGCUGAUACCGCCCAAGAGUUCAUAUCGACGGCGGUGUUUGGCACCUCGAUGUCGGCUCAUCACAUCCUGGGGCUGAAGUAGGUCCCAAGGGUAUGGCUGUUCGCCAUUUAAAGUGGUACGCGAGCUGGGUUUAGAACGUCGUGAGACAGUUCGGUCCCUAUCUGCCGUGGGCGCUGGAGAACUGAGGGGGGCUGCUCCUAGUACGAGAGGACCGGAGUGGACGCAUCACUGGUGUUCGGGUUGUCAUGCCAAUGGCACUGCCCGGUAGCUAAAUGCGGAAGAGAUAAGUGCUGAAAGCAUCUAAGCACGAAACUUGCCCCGAGAUGAGUUCUCCCUGACUCCUUGAGAGUCCUGAAGGAACGUUGAAGACGACGACGUUGAUAGGCCGGGUGUGUAAGCGCAGCGAUGCGUUGAGCUAACCGGUACUAAUGAACCGUGAGGCUUAACCUUACAACGCCGAAGCUGUU